GUUUGAUCCUGGCUCAGGAUGAACGCUGGCGGCGUGCUUAACACAUGCAAGUCGAACGAACCUUCGGGUUAGUGGCGGACGGGUGAGUAACGCGUGGGAAUCUGCCCUCAGGAGGGGGAUAACGGCUGGAAACGGCCGCUAAUACCCCAUAUGCCGAGAGGUGAAAGGAAAUUCGCCUGAGGAUGAGCCCGCGUCUGAUUAGCUAGUUGGUGGGGUAAGAGCUUACCGAGGCGACGAUCAGUAGCUGGUCUGAGAGGAUGAUCAGCCACACUGGGACUGAGACACGGCCCAGACUCCUACGGGAGGCAGCAGUGGGGAAUUUUCCGCAAUGGGCGAAAGCCUGACGGAGCAACGCCGCGUGAGGGAUGAAGGCCUCUGGGCUGUAAACCUCUUUUCUCAAGGAAGAAGACAUGACGGUACUUGAGGAAUAAGCCACGGCUAAUUCCGUGCCAGCAGCCGCGGUAAUACGGGAGUGGCAAGCGUUAUCCGGAAUUAUUGGGCGUAAAGCGUCCGCAGGCGGCCCUGUAAGUCUGUCGUUAAAGCGUGGAGCUUAACUCCAUUUAAGCGAUGGAAACUACAGGGCUUGAGUGUGGUAGGGGCAGAGGGAAUUCCCGGUGUAGCGGUGAAAUGCGUAGAUAUCGGGAAGAACACCAGUGGCGAAGGCGCUCUGCUGGGCCAUAACUGACGCUCAUGGACGAAAGCCAGGGGAGCGAAAGGGAUUAGAUACCCCUGUAGUCCUGGCCGUAAACGAUGAACACUAGGUGUCGGGGGAAUCGACCCCCUCGGUGUCGUAGCCAACGCGUCAAGUGUUCCGCCUGGGGAGUACGCACGCAAGUGUGAAACUCAAAGGAAUUGACGGGGGCCCGCACAAGCGGUGGAGUAUGUGGUUUAAUUCGAUGCAACGCGAAGAACCUUACCAGGGUUUGACAUCCUGCGAAUCCCUUGGAAACGAGGGAGUGCCUUCGGGAGCGCAGAGACAGGUGGUGCAUGGCUGUCGUCAGCUCGUGUCGUGAGAUGUUGGGUUAAGUCCCGCAACGAGCGCAACCCACGUCUUUAGUUGCCAGCAUUCAGUUGGGCACUCUAGAGAGACCGCCGGUGAUAAACCGGAGGAAGGUGUGGAUGACGUCAAGUCAUCAUGCCCCUUACAUCCUGGGCUACACACGUACUACAAUGCUACGGACAAAGGGCAGCAAGCUCGCGAGAGUUAGCAAAUCCCAUAAACCGUGGCUCAGUUCAGAUCGUAGGCUGCAACUCGCCUACGUGAAGGAGGAGUCGCUAGUAAUCGCAGGUCAGCAUACUGCGGUGAAUACGUUCCCGGGCCUUGUACACACCGCCCGUCACACCAUGGAAGUUGGCCAUGCCCGAAGUCGUUACUCCAACCCUG
rnacentral:rRNA from 1 species